GCCGGAUUAGCUCAGCGGUAGAGCAACGGUUUCGUAAACCGUAGGUCGCGGGUUCGAAUCCCGCAUCCGGCUCCA
rnacentral:tRNA from 1 species